rnacentral:rRNA from 1 species
GUCCUUUUGAGUUUAAUUUAAGGUCUAACCUGCCCACUGAAAUUUUUAAUGGCCGCAGUAAUUUGACUGUGCAAAGGUAGCAUAAUAAUUAGUUUUUUAAUUAAAAGCUUGUAUGAAGGGUUGGACGAAAUAAAAUCUGUCUCUAUUUAAUUAAAUUUAGAAUUUAACUUUUAAGUUAAAAGGCUUAAAUAUUAUUAAAAGACGAGAAGACCCUAUAGAUCUUUAUAAUUUUUUUUUAUAAUUUUAAUUAGGAAUUAUUAAUUUUUUAUUAAAAAAAUUAUUUUAUUGGGGUAAUAUAAAGAUUUAAAAAAUUCUUUUUUAAAAUAAACAUAUAUUUAUGAUAUUAAUGAUCCAAUUUUAUUGAUUAUAAGAUUAAGUUACCUUAGGGAUAACAGCGUAAUUUUUUUUGAGAGUUCUUAUCGAUAAAAAAGUUUGCGACCUCGAUGUUGGAUUAAAGAUUAUUUUAGGUGUAGAAGCUUGGAAAUUUUGGUCUGUUCGACCAUUAAAUCUUUACAUGAUCUGAGUUCAGACCGGCGUAAGCCAGGUCGGUUUCUAUCUUUAAUAAAUUAAAAUAUUUUAGUACGAAAGGACCAAUUAUUUAAUAUAUUUAUAUUUAGUUUUUGAAUAUUAUUAA